GAUGAACGCUGGCGGCGUGCUUAACACAUGCAAGUCGAACGAGAAGUGAAGACGGAAACCUUUGGGCGGAAGGCAUUAUUUCGAGUGGCGGACGGGUGAGUAAUGAGUGGGUAGUAUGCCUCAUACAGGGGGAUAACAGCUGGAAACGACUGUUAAUACUGCAUAAGAACACAGCACCGCAUGGUGCGGGGGUAAAAACUCCGGUGGUAUGAGAUGGACCCGCGUUGGAUUAGCCAGUUGGCGGGGUAACGGCCCACCAACGCGACGAUCGAUAGCCGAUCUGAGAGGAUGACCGGCCACAUUGGGACUGAGACACGGCCCAAACUCCUACGGGAGGCAGCAGUGGGGAAUAUUGCACAAUGGGGGAAAGCCUGAUGCAGCGACGCCGCGUGAGUGAAGAAGUAUUUCGGUAUGUAAAGCUCUAUCAGCAGGGAAGAAAAUGACGGUACCUGAGUAAGAAGCCCCGGCUAACUACGUG
rnacentral:rRNA from 1 species